AGAGUUUGAGUCUGGCUCAGAACGAACGCUGGCAGCGUGGAUUAGGCAUGCAAGUCGAACGGGAAGCUGCGUGAUCAAUCUUCGGAGAGAUCUCGCGGUGGAGAGUGGCGAAAGGGUGAGUAACGCGUGGGUAACUUGCCCCUCAGUCGGGGAUAACCCUCCGAAAGGAGAGCUAAUACCGGGUGGUAUCUCGCGUCGCAUGGCGCGAAGAUUAAAGGUGGGGAUCCUUCGGGACCUGCCGCUGAGGGAGAGGCCCGCGUACCAUCAGCUUGUUGGUGAGGUAACGGCUCACCAAGGCUUACGGUUAGCUGGUCUGAGAGGAUGGUCAGCCACACUGGGACUGAGACACUGCCCAGACUCCUACGGGAGGCUGCAGUCGAGGAUCAUUUGCAAUGCGCGAAAGCGUGACAAUGCGACGCUGCGUGGAGGAUGACGGCCCUAGGGUUGUAAACUCCUGUCAUUCGGGAAAAAUUGCAUCAUGGCUAAUACCCAUGAUGCCUGAUGGUACCGAAAGAGGAAGCCACGGCUAACUCUGUGCCAGCAGCCGCGGUAAUACAGAGGUGGCAAGCGUUGUUCGGAUUUACUGGGCGUAAAGCGUGCGUAGGUGGCUUUGUGUGUCGGAUGUGAAAGCCUACCGCUCAACGGUGGAAUGGCAUUCGAAACUGCAGAGCUAGAGUACAGGAGGGGAGAGCGGAAUUCUAGGUGUAGCGGUGAAAUGCGUUGAUAUCUAGAAGAACACCGGUGGCGAAGGCGGCUCUCUGGAAUGUUACUGACACUGAGGCACGAAAGCUGGGGGAGCAAACAGGAUUAGAUACCCUGGUAGUCCCAGCUGUAAACGGUGUGCACUUGGUGUGGGGGGGGUUGGUCCCUCCCGUGCCGGAGUUAACGCAUUAAGUGCACCGCCUGGGGAGUACGGCCGCAAGGCUAAAACUCAAAGAAAUUGACGGGGGCCCGCACAAGCGGAGGAGCAUGUGGCUUAAUUCGAUGCAACGCGAAGAACCUUACCAGGGCUUGACAUGUAGCUGCACGCCUCCUGAAAGGGAGGAAGCCUUCGAGGGUGCUACACAGGUGCUGCAUGGCUGUCGUCAGUUCGUGCCGUGAGGUGUUGGGUUAAGUCCCGCAACGAACGCAACCCCUAUGUUUAGUUGCCACUCCGCCUUCGGGCGGAAGCACUCUAGACAGACUGCCCGUACAAGCGGGAGGAAGGUGGGGAUGACGUCAAGUCAGUAUGGCCCUUACGUCCUGGGCUGCACACGUGCUACAAUGGUCGGUACAAUGGGACGCGAUACCGCGAGGUGGAGCAAAUCCCCAAAAAUCGGCCCCAGUUCGGAUUGGAGUCUGCAACUCGACUCCAUGAAGUUGGAUUCGCUAGUAACGGCGUAUCAGCUACGACGCCGUGAAUACGUUCCCGGGCCUUUUACACACCGCCCGUCACAUCAUGAAAGCCGUCUGCACCCGAAGUCGCUGAGCCAACCCUCACGGGAGGCAGGUGCCGAAGGUGUGGGUGGUGAUUGGGAUGAA
rnacentral:rRNA from 1 species